rnacentral:rRNA from 1 species
AUUGAACGCUGGCGGCAGGCCUAACACAUGCAAGUCGAACGAGUGGCGGACGGGUGAGUAAUGUCUGGGAAACUGCCUGCUGGAGGGGGAUAACUACUGGAAACGGUAGCUAAUACCGCAUACCAUCAGAUGUGCCCAGAUGGGCUUAGCUAGUUGGUGGGGUAACGGCUCACCAAGGCGACGAUCCCUAGCUGGUCUGAGAGGAUGACCGGCCACACUGGAACUGAGACACGGUCCAGAGUCCGACGGGAGGCAGCAGUGGGGAAUAUUGCAAAAUGGGCGCAAGGCUGAUGCAGGCAUGCCGCGUGGAUGAAGAAGGCCUUCGGGUUGUAGAGUACUUUAAGCGGGGAGGCGUUACCCGCAGAAGAAGCACCGGCUAACUCCGUGCCAGCAGCCGCGGUAAUUC